CUACUGUUGCUUUCUUCAGAGACACAGUGGGCAUCUAUACUGUGCCAACUGUUGAAAAAUCUUCAUCUGUAUCCCAGGGUGAAGAAAAGAACAGUUAGAAACCAGCUGUUAUAUUAACCAUAACCAUUAUCUUUUAUGGGAUCCCAAAGAGGAUUAAUCUUCAUUCACAAACAGGUGGGCAGAUUCAUAGCUUCCCUGGAAAUGUACAACUACAACUACUGUUUAUCUCAUCUCUGAUAAUGUGAAUGAGCUUCCAGACAGGCCACCAUCUAUGCCAUUGGAACCCAACACCUGCCCAGAGGAUAAAAUCAGAAUGUAAAGAUUUUAAACAUGGUUUUUCAAAUGCCACUCCCUUUGUAAAUAAAAUAAACUACAGCUAAGGUUACUAAAAUUUAAAAGUAUGCACAAAGAGUGCUCAGGCAAGGUGCAGUAGUAUUCAUCGAAACACCAAGCAACUAUGCAGACUGAGGCUGAAUGGUCCAUGUAGAGUGUAUUUAUAUUAUUUUGGGAAAUUUCAGUUAAAAUUUGGACUAAUCAGACCAUUCCAUUAUUUUUUUCCUUUCUGUGAAACUUUGCUGCUAUAAUUUUUAUCCCCUUUUCUUUUAAUAUUUGAUUGCUUAAACAUGAUCAAGAGACUUUAAGUUCUUUCCUCCAAUUAUUGUAUUUUAGAAUUUCAUAUAUAUUUGGAUAUUAUAGAAAAUUCAAGGUCAACUAAAGAGGUUUCCUAGUAAUCUUCUGGCAAUUAUUGAGCCUUUAGA